rnacentral:lncRNA from 1 species
UAGAAGUGGGUUUCACCAUGUUGGCCAGGCUGGUCUCGAACUCCUGAUUUCAAGUGAUUGGACUCCCAAAGUGCUGGAAUUACAGGCAUAAGCCACCAUGCCUGGCCUCCCCUAAUUUGCUUCUUUAAACCUCUCUACAUCAUCACAAGAUGGGUGUUACUAUGAUCACUAUUUUACAGGUCAGCCAAAGAGGAGCAAAGAGUCAUCCACCUCAAUCAUGUUCAGGAAAUGAUCAGGUCAAGAUGUGGAGUGAGCCAGCUUUUCUCUUUCGUGCCACAUUUUCUGACCCAGCAUUUCAAGGUGCGAAAAAGAAAGAAGGCCAAAGGGAAGAAGGUGGUGCUGACCCUUGCGGUCUUGAAAAAGCAGGAGACCAUGAAAGUGGUGAAUCUUCCAUUUGAGAAAUUUGGCACUGGACAGGACAUUUUGGCAUUGGACAGAACAUCCAGCCCAAAAGGGACCUCACUUGCUUUGUCAAAUGGCCCCAUUAUACUAGGUUGCAGCAGCAGAGAGCCAUCCUCUAUAAGCAGCUAGAAGUGCCUUCUGUGAUUAGUCAGUUCACCAGGGCCUUGGACCACCAAACAGCUGCUCAAUGGGGUAAGCUGGCUGGCAAGUACAGACCAGAGACAAAGCAAGAGAAGCAGCAGAGACUGUUGGCCUGGGCUGAGAAGAAAGCAAAGGAGACAUCCCCACUGAGAGAUCACCUGUCCUUUUAAUGGGGGUUAACGCUGUCACCACCUUAGCGGAGAAAAAGAAGGAUCAGCUGGUGAUGACUGCACAGGACAGAGAUCCCAUUGAGUUGGUUGUCUUCCUGCCUGCCCUGUGUUGUAAACUGGGGGUUCCUUACUGCAUUAUCUAAUGGAAGGCAAGCUUGAGACAUCUAGGAUUAAAAAACAAACAAACAAACAACAACUCUUAAAAAUAUUCUUUUAAGGUCUCUGGUUUUCCUAGGCAGAGGACCCUGCGGCCUUCCGCAGUGUUUGUGUCCCUGAUUACUUGAGAUUAGGGAUUGGUGAUGACUCUUAACGAGCAUGCUGCCUUCAAGCAUCUGUUUAACAAAGCACAUCUUGCACCGCCCUUAAUCCAUUUAACCCUGAGUGGACACAGCACAUGUUUCAGAGAGCACAGGGUUGGGGGUAAGGUCACAGAUCAACAGGAUCCCAAGGCAGAGGAAUUUUUCUUAGUGCAGAACAAAAUGAAAAGUCUCCCAUGUCUACUUCUUUCUACACAGACACGGCAACCAUCCGAUUUCUCAAUCUUUUCCCCACCUUUCCCGCCUUUCUAUUCCACAAAGCCGCCAUUGUCAUCCUGGCCCGUUCUCAAUGAGCUGUUGGGCACACCUCCCAGACCGGGUGGUGGCCGGGCAGAGGGGCUCCUCACUUCCCAGUAGGGGCGGCCGGGCAGAGGCGCCCCUCACCUCCCGGACGGGGCGGCUGGCCGGGCGGGGGUGCUGACCCCCCCCACCUCCCUCCCGGACGGGGCGGCUGGCCGGGCGGGGGGCUGACACCCCCACCUCCCUCCCGGACGGGGCGGCUGGCCGGGCAGAGGGGCUCCUCACUUCCCAGUAGGGGCGGCCGGGCAGAGGCGCUUGUUUAUCUGCUGACCUUCCCUCCACUAUUGUCCCAUGACCCUGCCAAAUCCCCCUCUGUGAGAAACACCCAAGAAUUAUCA